GAAACGCGAUAGUUAAUGUGAAUUGCAGAAUUCAGUGAAUCAUCGAGUCUUUGAACGCACAUUGCGCCCAUAGGUAUUCCUUUGGGCAUGUCUGUUUGAGCGUCAUUACAACCCUCAGCUAACCGCUGGUUUUGAACCUGAACGGGUGACACCGCGCCGGUUUUAAAGUUGUAAGCUCUGCUGGCCGCUCUGCCCAACCAGAACAUAGUAAGCACUACUUGUCCGGGUGAAGCUGAACGGUACGGCCUGAACAAAACCUACCCACUCUCAAGGUUUGACCUCAGAUCAGACAAGGAUACCCGCUGAAAUUAAGC
rnacentral:misc_RNA from 1 species